rnacentral:rRNA from 1 species
GAUGAACGCUGGCGGCGUGCCUAAUACAUGCAAGUCGAGCGAACGGACGAGCAUCUUGCUUCUCUGAUGUUAGCGGCGGACGGGUGAUUAACACGUGGAUAACCUACCUUUAAGACUGGGCUAACUUCGGGCAACCGUAUCUAAUACCGGAUCAUAUUUUGAACCGCAUGGUUCAAAAGUGAACGCCGUUCUUGCUGUCACUUAUAGAUGUAUCCGCGCUGCAUUAGCUAGUUGGUAAGGUAAAGGCUUACCAAGGCAACGAUGCAUAGCCGACCUGAGAGGGUGAUCGGCCACACUGGAACUGAGACACGGUCCAGACUCCUACGGGAGGCAGCAGUAGGGAAUCUUCCGCAAUGGGCGAAAGCCUGACGGAGCAACGCCGCGUGAGGGAUGAAGGUCUUCGGAUCGUAAAACUCUGUUAUUAGGGAAGAACAUAUGUGGAAGUAACUGUGGAGAGCUUGACGGUACCUAAUCAGAAAGCCACGGCUAACUACGUG